UUUCAAAACCAAACCAAACCAAACCAAACCAAACAAGGCGAUUGAUAAAUUUAGUCGCUUCACUAACCAUCCGUAUAUAUAAGUCCUCUUCUAUUCAUUAUUACAAUUUGCAAGAUCUGCAGAUAGGUGAGCAAAAAGCUAAGACAUUAAGCUAUUGAAAGCUGAAGAAAAUUGAUUUCGAAAUCCUUGUGAAUCUUGUUGGUGACAAGGAAAGAUAUUUAAAAUCUCACAUGGUGCUAAAAUCUUGGGAUCUUAGAGAAUUUUCUUUUCUAUACACCCUUCAUCCAAAGUUGAAUAUCUCUAUCUCACCAUGACUCCGGAUCGAGUAAGAUUGAUGGUGUUGAAAUUUUAUAGUUCAUAUCUAGAUCGGGUUAUUCUCGACAUUGUUUGAGAGGUAAAAAUCUAACUAAGCUCCCUUUUCUUUUUCAAAUCAAGCUCUUUGAAUCAUAGAUUUAGGUAUGAAUUUAAAAAAAGAAAAAAAAAGGAAAAAAAGAAAAAGAAAAUGGUGAGACAAUUGUUAAUAAAAUAUAAGUUAAUUUUUUUUUAUUUUAUUUCUCUUUUAUUGUCAAAUUUUUAUUGAGAUCUAUAUCCAAAUACAGUGUUAUUUAUUUGUUUGAAAUUUGCAUUCAAUCAACGAAGCUUUGUUUGUAUGUUACAUUGACGGUAUGAAUAUGGGUGGAGUUGUGUCCU